GAGGGUAUAGCUCAAGUGGUAGAGUGCCUGCUUAGCAUGCACACAAGGUCCUGGGUUCAAUCCCCAGUACCUCCU
rnacentral:tRNA from 1 species